AGUCCGACAGACACUUUCCUAGUGAGCAGGUCUUGUAGAUUUGUGCUAUUCCCCUUGUGAUAAUUACCACGCUGAGACACUCGCUUCCAGCCACCUUAGGUACUCGCCCUCUCAGCCCCCAACUCGCCGAGACCCCCAGGCAUCGUCCACACCCGUCCGGCAAGGGACCCGCUGGACGACCUACAAGUGCUCAAUACUCUUUGAAAAGCUCCAACCAUUAUGUCUCUCGUCACCGUCCUUGGGAGUAUGGGAACGGGAGGACGAAUCCCAGGCAGAGCAAAUGUUUACGGCUUUGGAGGCAUUCCGGCUUCGCUCAAAGAGAAGAAACUCAAAGAAGCGAAGCUGCAGAACGCCCACGCCAAGGCAGCUGUCAUCGCCGCUGAACACGCUGCGGAGACGAAAAAGAAAGAUGAUAGUAAAUGAGACACUGCCGAGGUGAAGAAGUGCUGUUGGUGAGGUUCUUCGUGCCUAGAGCUGCCACCACGGGUAGAAGCUGUAGAAGGUGAAAGGCUGUACUCCUUUUAUGAUACCUGAAGAAGCGGUCGCCUGAACUAGGAUCCCAUACGCACAAAAGGCCAUCAGGAAUCCGGUUUAGGGCGACUUGUUCUCCCAUCGCUCCCUCGUAGAUCCGUAGUGCUGCUGUUGUUGUUUUGGAUUUAGGUCGUUCCUCCUUUUUUUUUAAUAGAUUUAGAUAUUUUUGUUUUUUUUUUAUUUUUUCUGGAGGGUGUUUAAUUCAUUAAUUU